AUGUCUACUACAGUGUACGUAGAAAAUUUAAGAAAAGGAAACAGAAGCAAUGAGUGGAUUAAAGUUAUUGAGAUGAUUCAUCCGAUCAGAAAGAACCUAGAAACACUCAUCCAUGGAACUUAUUAUUCUGCCCUCCUUUCAAGGGCCACCAAAAAAAUAUUGAAUAGAGUUUUGAUUUCAAUCUCACGUUUCACGUUUCAAAAAUAA